UGGCUUCCCUCCUAUAUUUACACCUUGUCAAGAUCACUCUUGGGAGAAACAUCAGGUCGCUAAAGGUUUCUCCCUUUCCUCCUCUCUUAAAAGAUACUUGUAUAAUUCUUCCAACAAUAAUUCCUCUAUAGGAGUGGGUUGGUCCUGGUUUCAAUGGUUGAUUUCCAAUGAAAAGGGGGCCACAGCCGACAUCUCCGCUUUGGCUCAAUUACGAGGAGUCCAAAGUUGGCUGUUUAAUGUUUCUGGCAGUACCCAAGACUCGGGGUGGGGUAGGAGACUCAAAUCUAUUUCACACAGUGCACUAUUAAGUAAUGCAACGUUACCCUCUGCAGCAGUCUGUCUCCAAUCUCCGUUUCUGUUCCUUUUGGCUAAUGUUACAUCACAGAGGAUGCUUAAUGGCUCUAAUAUUACCUGUUACUUGUCUGAGUGUUGGAAUGGAUCCUAGCCUA
rnacentral:lncRNA from 1 species